GGAAGAUGAGUGCUUUUAUGCCCAUAGUCUUGUGGAACUGAAAGUCUGGAUAAUGCAAAAUGAAACAGGUAUCUCACAUGAUGCUAUUGCUCAAGAGUCUAAACGAUAUUGGCAGAAUUUGGAAGCAAAUGUACCUGGAGCGCAGGUACUUGGUAAUCAAAUAAUGCCUGGAUUUCUUAAUAUGAAGAUAAAGUUUGUGUGCGCCCAGUGUCUGAGAAACGGUCAAGUCAUUGAACCAGACAAAAACAGAAAAUAUUGUAGUGCAAAAGCAAGGCAUUCGUGGACCAAAGACCGGCGUGCGAUGAGAGUGAUGUCUAUUGAACGUAAGAAGUGGAUGAACAUCCGUCCUCUCCCCACAAAGAAACAAAUGCCUUUACAGUUUGAUCUGUGCAACCAUAUUGCUUCUGGGAAAAAAUGUCAAUAUGUUGGAAACUGUUCCUUUGCUCAUAGUCCUGAGGAAAGAGAAGUUUGGACUUACAUGAAGGAGAAUGGGAUACAAGAUAUGGAGCAAUUUUACGAACUAUGGCUCAAGAGUC
rnacentral:lncRNA from 1 species